UUUUAUUUGUCUAUAUCCUAGAUUCGCAGCUGGACACAUCUUUCUAUGCAAACAUGCAACAUCAUAACACACAGUACAAGGAGUCAGACUGGCAUAUGAGGAGCAAAGGAACCCAGGCAGUAGCAUCGUUUCACAAUGUUUCCAUCAUCAUCAUCAGUGGAUGCCUUUGCCGUCCGUAGCCUGAGAUUUCAGAUUUGCAGCAAAAAAAAUUUGAUUUUCUCAUUUAUUGGAAUGCUGUGCAGGUAUUUGUACCUUGCAGCCAUCCAUUACAAUGUCACCAAGCCGUAACAAAAGCAGGAGAGGGAAAGUACAAGGCUAUGUUCCCAAAACACAAAUGACAUACCUUA